rnacentral:sRNA from 2 species
UAUAUAAAUAAGCUGAAUCCCGGAAAAUAUCUGGGUACGGAGGAACCAAUGUAUUGGGGUUAAUCUUAGUAUACUAUUAAAUAUAUUAAGUAGGGGUACCUUUACCCGAACCCGUCAGCUAACUUCGGAGGCAAAGAAAGGCGGAUAA